rnacentral:rRNA from 1 species
UACGUAGGGUGCAAGCGUUAAUCGGAAUUACUGGGCGUAAAGCGUGCGCAGGCGGUCCGUUAAGACAGAUGUGAAAUCCCCCGGGCUUAACCUGGGAACUGCAUUUGUGACUGGCGGACUCGAGUAUGGCAGAGGGGGGUAGAAUUCCACGUGUAGCAGUGAAAUGCGUAGAGAUGUGGAGGAAUACCGAUGGCGAAGGCAGGUCACUGGGCAUUAACUGAC